rnacentral:piRNA from 1 species
UGCAAGUUGUAUAAAAGGCAGAUUAG